rnacentral:tRNA from 1 species
GGCCGGUUGCCCGAAUGGUAAGGGGUUUGUCUGCAAAACAAAUUUUCGCGGGUUCGAUUCCCGCACCGACUA